AUUGAACGCUGGCGGCAGGCCUAACACAUGCAAGUCGAACGGUAACAGGAAGAAGCUUGCUUCUUUGCUGACGAGUGGCGGACGGGUGAGUCAUGUCUGUGAAACUGCCUGAUGGAGGGGGAUAACUACUGGAAACGGUAGCUAAUACCGCAUAACGUUGCAAGACCAAAGAGGGGGACUUUCGGGCCUCUUGCCAUCGGAUGUGCCCAGAUGGGAUUAGCUAGUAGGUGGGGUAACGGCUCACCUAGGCGACGAUCCCUAGCUGGUCUGAGAGGAUGACCAGCCACACUGGAACUGAGACACGGUCCAGACUCCUACGGGAGGCAGCAGUGGGGAAUAUUGCGCAAUGGGCGAAAGCCUGAUGCAGCCAUGCCGCGUGUAUGAAGAAGGCCUUCGGGUUGUAAAGUACUGUCAGCGGGGAGGAACAGAGUAGAGUGAAUACCUGUGCUCAUUGACGUUACCCGCAGAAGAAGCACCGGCUAACUCCGUG
rnacentral:rRNA from 1 species